GAUGAAGAACGUAGCGAAAUGCGAUAAGUAAUGUGAAUUGCAGAAUUCAGUGAAUCAUCGAAUCUUUGAACGCACAUUGCGCCCGCCAGUAUUCUGGCGGGCAUGCCUGUUCGAGCGUCAUUACAACCCUCAGGCCCCCGGGCCUGGCGUUGGGGAUCGGCGGAGCCCCCCGUGGGCACACGCCGUCCCCCAAAUGCAGUGGCGGUCCCGCCGCAGCUUCCAUCGCGUAGUAGCUAACACCUCGCGACUGGAGAGCGGCGCGGCCACGCCGUAAAACACCCAACUCUUCUGAAGUUGACCUCGAAUCAGGUAGGAAUACCCGCUGAACUUAAGCAUAUCAAUAAGCGUAGGA
rnacentral:misc_RNA from 1 species